UACGUAGGGCGCAAGCGUUAUCCGGAAUUAUUGGGCGUAAAGCGCACGUAGGCGGCAUUGCAAGUCGGAUGUGAAAUCCCUCGGCUUAACCAAGGAAGUGCAUCCGAAACUGCAGUGCUUGAGUACUUAAGAGGAUCGCGGAAUUCCCGGUGUAGAGGUGAAAUUCGUAGAUAUCGGGAGGAACACCAGUGGCGAAGGCGGCGAUCUGGGAAGAUACUGACGCUGAGGUGCGAAAGCGUGGGGAGCAAACAGG
rnacentral:rRNA from 1 species